UACGAAGGGGGCUAGCGUUGUUCGGAUUUACUGGGCGUAAAGCGCACGUAGGCGGACCGUUAAGUCGGGGGUGAAAUCCUGGAGCUCAACUCCAGAACUGCCUUCGAUACUGGCGAUCUUGAGUCCGGAAGAGGUGAGUGGAACUCCUAGUGUAGAGGUGGAAUUCGUAGAUAUUAGGAAGAACACCAGUGGCGAAGGCGGCUCACUGGUCCGGUACUGACGCUGAGGUGCGAAAGCGUGGGGAGCAAACAGG
rnacentral:rRNA from 1 species